CGAGACACUAAACUUGCAGCCUGCAGCCUGCACCCCGGCGGCAUUGUUUCAGUCGAUGACAUUCUCUCCGACUCCUGGGUCGGCGUUUCGGAUGCCAUGUUUUCAUAUUUGCGGUCGCCGGAGGCCACCCUUGUUCCGUUCCUGAUGACACCCAAGAAGCUAUACCUCACGCAUCCAUCCAUGCAUCAGAAGUAUUUUGAUUAUCUGAUGUCUUUGGGUUACGACAUGGUGAAGUGUUCAGCUCAUAAGACCAAUAAGAUGAGGUAUCAGAUAGCCGAGUAUGAUGUCUGCAUUGUGCUAACGCAUGCAUGACCUAUGUGUCCGCACCCGUGCGCUGUCAAUUCUAGAACCCGAGUCCCUACACGUAAACAAUCACCGCGAAAUGUUCGGGGCCAUCGCUGACCUACUGGCCCAGCAGAGUUAGCAGAGCUGAAGACACACUUCUACCACGUCCGUGUUGGGUAGAACGGCUCAAACGCCGGCUUGACGCAGAUGAAAUGGAUUCGGCGUCGGAGUCAACCAUUUAGUUGUCGCAGAAGACAGAUAAAUCCGGGCGUAAACAGGAAAGCUGGGAAUGAGAUAAGGGGACGCAGAGGAGCUCAGGACACUUUCGCGCAGCACCCGUAAAAAACCGGGAGCUAUAAAAAUUUUGCUUUGUAACGAGGGCUGUCACCGAGGCACUGGCCACGAUGCAGGUGUAUGACGACCGGCCUACACCGCUUUGACCUUCCCAGGGUAUGCACACGGGUACCAGCAGCUGUCCUGGGCACCUGCAGCGAUUAAGAUGCGCCUGCGGCGAUCACAGCAAUAAUCGGAGAUACCAGAUGUGUGGUCGGAGGAUGAUACAGUCAGAUAUACCAGUCAACAGGAGAACCUGUGAAGGGAAGGGAUAGGAAGGGAGAAAGGAGGGAAUAGAAGCCGUAGCCUCAGGCAGAGCCUGGGCGUAGUUGUUGGGGCGUGUAGAACGCCAGAGGUAUUGGAUAGGAGGGAAGAGCGGGACUACCCUAUAAGGCUGAGUACCCGCUGGUGUCGUACGCGCCGCUGAUGCGCAACCCGGCUGAACUGAGUAAGCUGGGCUCCCUGGCAAGCAAGUCGAUACAACAGGUAUGUGCUACGCUCACAGGCAAGCAAUCCGAUGCGAAUGCUACAGGCUGCACGCACAGGCAGGCAAGUCGGUGCAACAGAUACGAGUUGCUUACACCCAAGGCUGGUGGAUACAGUAUGCAGACCAGAUGGCUGGUAGAAGAGAGCAGGAGUCGGGAGCGGUAGUCUGUCGCAAUCCCGAAGGGAAACCGGAAGGGGGGGAGUAGGGAGACAGUAGGCUGGAUCGGUCGCAAUCCCGAAGGGAAACCGGAGGAGGGAGUAGGGAGACAGUAGGCGCCGGGGGUGACGGAGGAAGCCUGGCACACUAGAAGGCCGCGAACUACGGCGAAGGGCUUAGGUCCGGUCCGGUCCGCACGCGUCGGUCGCAGAAACGGAAGGGGCAACCCGCGAAGGGGAAUUUGCACUCAACCGUUACAAGUAUGCUGUCACGGGUUGUGACCACAAGACACAGCACACGCCAAACGAGCUCUGGUACCUUGAUGCAACCAGGCUCGUCAACUACCCAAAACGUCGCUCGAUGGUGGGUGUGCUAAACAACUUCUUCAAACAUUCUAGGCUAGCCCAAGGCGCCACUAGAAACAUCGAGCGAGUCCGGAAACUAACGCUAGGUGGUCUACACAGGGUCCAAACAUCAUAAUGCUCGGUAGCUAAGUCCAGAAGCUUCGUCCGAACAUUGUACAAUCCAUCUAGAGCCAGCAUUGGCAGUCUACUUGCCCCUGGCGGCCUUGCCCCUGGCGGCCUUGCCAGCCUUCGCGACCGGAGCCUUGGCAGCCUUGCCCUCAGUACCUGGUCGAUCCCGAUCGUUUUCCGAUGGCGGGGUGAGCUUGUCUCACUCCUCCUUAAGACACGCGGGCACCUGUGCCCUGCGUAGAUAUUAUUAUUAUUAUUUCCACUGCAACGGUCUCGUUCUGUAUUUGCUCCGGUGUUAUAAGACUGUAUUGAUAAGGCUGAGGUAGACCAGAGAGUUAUCGAGAUAAGGAGGAGAAAUCGAGACUAAUCGAGGAUGCGGAAGCGUAGAAUGCAUUCUAGCUGAACCCCACCCGAGAGCACCAACAGUGCUGCCACACACACCCUGAACCAGACGACGGAAGCUCGAUCCCCCAUUCACCUUAGCUGGCGCCUCGGCCGUCCUCUCAUCCUUGCGCUUCUUCGCAUCCGUCCGCUUCUUGUCGCCCAGCGCCUGCAUGACAGCAAGUGUGCCGCAAUGCUGUGAAAGCGAACUUGCACGAAGGGACGGUCCGUCCGCAGUGGUGCCUGGCACCCAUGCCGCAAGGGACCAUCUCCAGUGCAGAAGUGAACGACUUACGCAGCGAGCCAUAUUAGACGACGCGCGCAGAGAACAUGAUCACGGUGGUCUUACCUUCAUGCGCUCGGCACCCGCCGCGGCCAGCUUGUCGAUGGCGCCUGGGCUGGACUGGGGCAUGGGCGGGGGCAUGGGCGGGCUGGGCUGGGGCGCGGCGGCGACGUCGACGGCGCCUGGGACCCCAGAGAGGAGCGCUUGGUCUUUGAAGAGAGGCCGCUCAAGGCCUUGGCCAGCGGUCCCUGCAAGAAGCAGCAGAGUUGUGUAAGCGCAACAGACAUUCACCAACAACCGCGCCUGGUCGUAUCAGCAGUAAGGAUGCGCUCGUAAGCGAAGCACGCACUGACAGUCUAUGUAAGAAAGAAGGCCCCCAGCGUCGAUGGCACCGUAGGACACCUUGGCGUCCUUGACGCUCACGGAAGCCCGGCUUGGCAGCAAAGACUCAAGCUCCUUGCAAAGACCGACCUCCUCUUCCGUCAGCGUCUGCUUCUCGCCAGCCGGCUGGAUGCAUCUCCGACCCCGAUGCCCCGAUCGCCCAGACAUCCCUACCACCCUCAUGGCCUACAGCGCGUCAUGUCCCCAUCAGCGGCACCACAUGUUCAACUCGCCUGGCCGGCACCAGCCUUUCAUACCAGUCUCGGCUCACCAUUUACAGCAGCCCGUCAGCCUUCGCGUCAGCCCGGCCACAGCUAGGCAGCCACCCUGGUUGGCUUGCCCCUUCCCCCGAAGGGGGAGGGGCAAGAGCCCUUGCGGUCGCAUCGAGUUCCCGCAGCGGGGCCCUCCGGUUAUCGCCGUAGCUCCUCGAAGCGUAGCGUAGAGCAGAGCGGAUCGCCGUAGCUCCUCGAAGCGUAGCGUAGAGCAGAGCGGAGGACUACACCACUUAGCGCCCAGCGUACCCCGGACCGUACCCUGGACCGGCUUCUCGCACGGCUUCUCGCACACACGCGUUACACGCACACACGCAGCGCCACACUAUAGCAUGUAAUGCAGUGAAUUGCAACAGCGGUAGGGUUACACGCGAAACACGAGCGCGGCAGGCAUUGAAGGAAGAAAGUUAUGUCGCGCCAGUUUCGCGCUUCGCACAUGCAGGCCACUGCAAAGAAUAGCAUGUAAUGCAAAGUACUGAGCGUGCGAGCCUGGAACGCCAGCGUCGGUGAAGCCGGCGAGACGGGGAAGUCGGCGAACUCGGCGAUGAAGGCCUAUCUCGGCACAGCUGCAAGGUAUUAGUGUGCAGCCAGCCCGCCGGGCCUGCGCGGAACGCGUCCACGACAUAAUUUUUUUCGCGGAGGCUACGUAUGCCGGCGUGCCCAAGGAUCGUUGUAUAACCUGUAACACGUGUCUGUGUGAGGACAGAGCGCGUGUGUCACUCGGCUGAGGCUGCGGAAGCGACAGUAGAGCGGAAGCUCUCUGAUCACGAUACCGUAUGUGUGUGUGCUGGAGGCUGUUUUAGCUUUUGAGAGAUAAGUGCGGAAGCGUUGUUGAGUUAAUCGAGAUGCGUCUUACAGCGGAAGUCUGCGUAAACGGAGGCAGGGGCCGUGAUGCAGGUGGGAGGACACGCUGCGGCGGGCGGUAGAGAGAGGGAGAGAGGAGAAAGAGGGAGAGAAGCCAGUGACAGGCAGGGCCGUCACACGUAGGCACACGAGGGCUCACUCGUGUUAUUCACUCGCUCGCUGGGGAAGGCCAGAGAGCUGUCGUAAUCGUGCUGCAGUGGGGCGGCACGUUGAGGGAGAAGGAGCGCCUGCGGGAGAGGUUGGGAAGAGGGAGAGGCGGCGCAGGGCGCAGGUGACAGGACACGGCUGUCACACGUUCGUCCGCGAGUACUGCGCUCGUGGGUAGUCCACUCGCUCGCUGGGGAGACGAGGGAAAGGCGGGGUGCACUGGGGCGACCGGGGCCUUGGCUUGGUUCCUGCGAGCCUGUAAGAGAGAGACGUUGGGGCGACGGAGAGGCUGUGCGCAGAUGGCUGUCCAGCUGCCGUGAGAGAGCCCUGCGGGCUGUGAUGGGCGCUAUGGCCAAGGGAACCGGGGCAGAGGGACAGAGGAGCGAGAAGGGCACACGGUUCUUUACAAAGGCUCGCGUAGAGCGAGGGAAACAGGAGUCAGUAUUAGAGUUCACCGGAUGACUUGGUUGUGCGUAUUGGCGUGUCAAGUCUGGGUCUUGCGCGCUUGCUCAAGUCUGGGUCUACCUGUAACGGCUGGAAGAGGGCUGCUUUUAUACUCAUGGCGAGGGCCCCCGUCGUACGCCCGUACAGUUGCAUUGCCAAGAAGUCUAAGCUAAGGAGUACCGCCGUCUGUCACAUCCAAGCUAAGGAGUAUCGCCGCCCGAAUCACCGGAUCGCUAACUAGUUUGCACACCCUCCUCUGGAGGGUCUGAUUAUGGAGCUUAGCGUAGUGCUCACAGGUUCGAAUCCCGCCAAAAACAAAUUUUUGACACACGAUCACAACGAAGAACAAGAUAAGAUCAGGGCGCCGCGGAAUUUUACAAACAAGGCCACGCGGGUGCAGAAACCAAGAAUGCGAUAAAGCACGACAUGAUGCAACAUCAACAGAAUACACCGACAUCGCGAAAAAACAGGAAUUCAGGCUACCAGGUGUAUCUAUACACCAUGCUUGUCGGUUUUCAAGCUCCAACAUCGCAUGAGCAUGAGCAUUUACAUGGCGUCGUAGUCCAUGCGGCCCCACUAACUCCUUUGAGUCCGGAGGCGCAUAUAGCAGAACAAAGCAGGUUCAGUCCGCUCAAUCGCCCCGCAGAAUGCUAGCACGCAGAGCCUGCACUGAGUACAGGAACGCGGCUAAUUUUCUAACCUCUGUGCUAAGCAUGACUUCCUUCACACAAUUACUAUUGAUUCCAUAUGCCACUCUUAGCUCUGUGUAAGCUCCACAUUCGAGCAAGACGUGCCUCUCGUCCUCUACACACUCGCCACGGCACACCCGGCACCGCCUUUGGGUCCGCAAGCGCCGCACUCCGUUGCGCAUUGGCCUAUUUGCCGAACAUCGCGACGGACAUAUUGAACAUGUAUUUUGAGCGUGCAUUGUUCGGAACACACACAACGAGCUCGGGAGCGCGAAAUGGCGAGCCAAGCAUGUCGAGACCCCGACUGAUUUUCACACCGCGUCACUCAAGUCCCUAGUUGUUCGUAAGAAUAUGCAUGCUGAACGCGCAUUGCGGUUUUCGCGCGCAUCCUUUCUGGUAGUCCCGACGCCAGCCCGGCCGCCGUCGUCCAGCCCAGCCAUCCCAAUACAGCAGCCACCUUCCGUCAGCCAGCCAUGGGCGCGAACGUCCACAGCGUUUACCGUCGGUUACGAGGUAACAUGUGAAUUCACAACUUGCGCUACUGACUGCCUACUCUCGUGCCGCCUGCAAGCCCACUCCGCCUUCCGCUCUGGUCUACGUACGCAUUAGUUCCGCAACACUAGUCAAUCUAGGGGCCUGACGAACAUUCCAGGUCGACUCCCACAGCUGCACAGCACCUGCCUUAGGAAGCCUAAGUCUACGACUAAGCAGCCAGAGACGCUAGCGGUAGCCGCCCCCCCCUCACAACUAGGUCGCACCAAGCCUGUGCUUAGCUGGCUCCUUGCCCGAACAUUCGUGGCCAACUCUGACUCCACAGCCUGGUUGCAUCAAGGCACCAGGGCUCGUUUGGCGUGUGCUGUGUCUUGCGGUCACAACCCGCGGCUGACGGCAGCAUACUUGUAACGGUUGAGUGCAAAUUCCCCUUCGCGGGUUGCCCCUUCCCCUUCUCCUGCGACCGACGCGUGCGGACCGGACCGGACCUAAGCCCUUCGCCAUAGUGCGCGGCCUCUAGUGUGCCAGGCUUCCCCCGUCACCCCGGCGCCUACUGUCUCCCUACUCCCUCCUCCGGUUUCCCUUCGGGAUUGCGACCGAUCCAGCCUACUGUCUCCCUACUCCCCCCCUUCCGGUUUCCCUUCGGGAUUGCGACAGACUACCGCUCCCGACUCCUGCUCUCUUCUACCAGCCAUCUGGUCUGCAUACUGUAUCCACCAGCCUUGGGUGUAAGCAACUCGUAUCUGUUGCACCGACUUGCCUGCCUGUGCGUGCAGCCUGUAGCAUUCGCAUCGGAUUGCUUGCCUGUGAGCGGAGCACACACCUGUUGUAUCGACUUGCUUGCCAGGGAGCCCAGCUUGCUCAGUUCAGCCGGGUUGCGCAUCAGCGGCGCGUACGACACCAGCGGUUACUCAGCCUUAUAGGGUAGUCCCGCUCUUCCCUCCUAUCCAAUACCUCUGGCGUUCUACACGCCCUAACAACUACGCCCAGGCUCUGCCUGAGGCCACGGCUUCUAUCCCCGCCUUCUCCCGUGCAGGUCCGGCCAGCCGGCCGCCAAGUCUCUUCCCCUUUUCUCCCUUCCUACUUCUUUCCUUUACAGGUUCUCCUGCCUCCUGGUAUAUUCGACUGAAUCAUCUCCCGACCACACAUCUGGUACCUCCGACUAUUGCUGUGAUCACCGCAGGCGCAUCUUAAUCACCCCGCAAGUGCCCAGGACAGCUGCUGGUACACAGGGUCGGGUGUGGUGGCCGUCCAGCCUCUCCACGCUCCGUGCUCAUACGCUGGGAAGGUCAAUGCGGUGCAGGCCUGCCGUCACACAGCUGCAUCGUGGCCAGUGCCUCAGUGACAGCCCGCGUUACAGCGCAAAAGUUUUUAUAAUUCCCGGGUUUUUACGGGUGCUGCGCACAGGGUGGGGGUUGGCGGUGAUGGUUUCGCAGUGAAAUUUCCGGAAGGUUCCGGAUUACGUUCGCCUCUUGAGAGAUGGUCAGACUAAUAUACCUUUACUUAUGUACGAUGCUGUUGCUGUCUGGCCCUUGCCAGUCGGCUGUCAUUUGCGAUGCAAGACUUUCAAAACUCGAUAGUAAUACGUUGCCUGAUAUUUCUAUGCAAGACAAACUCAUCCUCGAGUACCAAACUGGAAUGUCAAGACUUGGUGGCUGGCUGACUACAUUUGAUUUGAAUGUCAGUAUACUUCUAACAAGGUAUCAGCAUCAGAACAAUAUUUACGGUUCCAUUGGUGAAAUCGGAGUACAUCACGGUAAAUACAUCAUUGGCCUCUGAUUGUCUGCUGCUCCGGAAGAGCCGGUAAUUGCUAUGGAUUUAUUUGGUCAUCAAACACAGAAUUUAGACGGCUCUGGGCGAGGAGAUCUGCAGAUAUUUCUUAACAACGCCCGACGAUUUUCCCCUCACACUAAUUUUACUGUUAUUGAAGGGAACUCCAUGGAUAUUACGGUGAAAACGUUUUCAACAAGGUCCAUUCCUCAGUUCCGUUUUUUCAGUGUAGACGGCGGACAUUUUUAUGAUGCGGCUCUACGAGACACUAAACUUGCAGCCUGCAGCCUGCACCCCGGCGGCAUUGUUUCAGUCGAUGACAUUCUCUCCGACUCCUGGGUCGGCGUUUCGGAUGCCAUGUUUUCAUAUUUGCGGUCGCCGGAGGCCACCCUUGUUCCGUUCCUGAUGACACCCAAGAAGCUAUACCUCACGCAUCCAUCCAUGCAUCAGAAGUAUUUUGAUUAUCUGAUGUCUUUGGGUUACGACAUGGUGAAGUGUUCAGCUCAUAAGACCAAUAAGAUGAGGUAUCAGAUAGCCGAGUAUGAUGUCUGCAUUGUGCUAACGCAUGCAUGACCUAUGUGUCCGCACCCGUGCGCUGUCAAUUCUAGAACCCGAGUCCCUACACGUAAACAAUCACCGCGAAAUGUUCGGGGCCAUCGCUGACCUACUGGCCCAGCAGAGUUAGCAGAGCUGAAGACACACUUCUACCACGUCCGUGUUGGGUAGAACGGCUCAAACGCCGGCUUGACGCAGAUGAAAUGGAUUCGGCGUCGGAGUCAACCAUUUAGUUGUCGCAGAAGACAGAUAAAUCCGGGCGUAAACAGGAAAGCUGGGAAUGAGAUAAGGGGACGCAGAGGAGCUCAGGACACUUUCGCGCAGCACCCGUAAAAAACCGGGAGCUAUAAAAAUUUUGCUUUGUAACGAGGGCUGUCACCGAGGCACUGGCCACGAUGCAGGUGUAUGACGACCGGCCUACACCGCUUUGACCUUCCCAGGGUAUGCACACGGGUACCAGCAGCUGUCCUGGGCACCUGCAGCGAUUAAGAUGCGCCUGCGGCGAUCACAGCAAUAAUCGGAGAUACCAGAUGUGUGGUCGGAGGAUGAUACAGUCAGAUAUACCAGUCAACAGGAGAACCUGUGAAGGGAAGGGAUAGGAAGGGAGAAAGGAGGGAAUAGAAGCCGUAGCCUCAGGCAGAGCCUGGGCGUAGUUGUUGGGGCGUGUAGAACGCCAGAGGUAUUGGAUAGGAGGGAAGAGCGGGACUACCCUAUAAGGCUGAGUACCCGCUGGUGUCGUACGCGCCGCUGAUGCGCAACCCGGCUGAACUGAGUAAGCUGGGCUCCCUGGCAAGCAAGUCGAUACAACAGGUAUGUGCUACGCUCACAGGCAAGCAAUCCGAUGCGAAUGCUACAGGCUGCACGCACAGGCAGGCAAGUCGGUGCAACAGAUACGAGUUGCUUACACCCAAGGCUGGUGGAUACAGUAUGCAGACCAGAUGGCUGGUAGAAGAGAGCAGGAGUCGGGAGCGGUAGUCUGUCGCAAUCCCGAAGGGAAACCGGAAGGGGGGGAGUAGGGAGACAGUAGGCUGGAUCGGUCGCAAUCCCGAAGGGAAACCGGAGGAGGGAGUAGGGAGACAGUAGGCGCCGGGGGUGACGGAGGAAGCCUGGCACACUAGAAGGCCGCGAACUACGGCGAAGGGCUUAGGUCCGGUCCGGUCCGCACGCGUCGGUCGCAGAAACGGAAGGGGCAACCCGCGAAGGGGAAUUUGCACUCAACCGUUACAAGUAUGCUGUCACGGGUUGUGACCACAAGACACAGCACACGCCAAACGAGCUCUGGUACCUUGAUGCAACCAGGCUCGUCAACUACCCAAAACGUCGCUCGAUGGUGGGUGUGCUAAACAACUUCUUCAAACAUUCUAGGCUAGCCCAAGGCGCCACUAGAAACAUCGAGCGAGUCCGGAAACUAACGCUAGGUGGUCUACACAGGGUCCAAACAUCAUAAUGCUCGGUAGCUAAGUCCAGAAGCUUCGUCCGAACAUUGUACAAUCCAUCUAGAGCCAGCAUUGGCAGUCUACUUGCCCCUGGCGGCCUUGCCCCUGGCGGCCUUGCCAGCCUUCGCGACCGGAGCCUUGGCAGCCUUGCCCUCAGUGCCUGGUCGAUCCCGAUCGUUUUCCGAUGGCGGGGUGAGCUUGUCUCACUCCUCCUUAAGACACGCGGGCACCUGUGCCCUGCGUAGAUAUUAUUAUUAUUAUUUCCACUGCAACGGUCUCGUUCUGUAUUUGCUCCGGUGUUAUAAGACUGUAUUGAUAAGGCUGAGGUAGACCAGAGAGUUAUCGAGAUAAGGAGGAGAAAUCGAGACUAAUCGAGGAUGCGGAAGCGUAGAAUGCAUUCUAGCUGAACCCCACCCGAGAGCACCAACAGUGCUGCCACACACACCCUGAACCAGACGACGGAAGCUCGAUCCCCCAUUCACCUUAGCUGGCGCCUCGGCCGUCCUCUCAUCCUUGCGCUUCUUCGCAUCCGUCCGCUUCUUGUCGCCCAGCGCCUGCAUGACAGCAAGUGUGCCGCAAUGCUGUGAAAGCGAACUUGCACGAAGGGACGGUCCGUCCGCAGUGGUGCCUGGCACCCAUGCCGCAAGGGACCAUCUCCAGUGCAGAAGUGAACGACUUACGCAGCGAGCCAUAUUAGACGACGCGCGCAGAGAACAUGAUCACGGUGGUCUUACCUUCAUGCGCUCGGCACCCGCCGCGGCCAGCUUGUCGAUGGCGCCUGGGCUGGACUGGGGCAUGGGCGGGGGCAUGGGCGGGCUGGGCUGGGGCGCGGCGGCGACGUCGACGGCGCCUGGGACCCCAGAGAGGAGCGCUUGGUCUUUGAAGAGAGGCCGCUCAAGGCCUUGGCCAGCGGUCCCUGCAAGAAGCAGCAGAGUUGUGUAAGCGCAACAGACAUUCACCAACAACCGCGCCUGGUCGUAUCAGCAGUAAGGAUGCGCUCGUAAGCGAAGCACGCACUGACAGUCUAUGUAAGAAAGAAGGCCCCCAGCGUCGAUGGCACCGUAGGACACCUUGGCGUCCUUGACGCUCACGGAAGCCCGGCUUGGCAGCAAAGACUCAAGCUCCUUGCAAAGACCGACCUCCUCUUCCGUCAGCGUCUGCUUCUCGCCAGCCGGCUGGAUGCAUCUCCGACCCCGAUGCCCCGAUCGCCCAGACAUCCCUACCACCCUCAUGGCCUACAGCGCGUCAUGUCCCCAUCAGCGGCACCACAUGUUCAACUCGCCUGGCCGGCACCAGCCUUUCAUACCAGUCUCGGCUCACCAUUUACAGCAGCCCGUCAGCCUUCGCGUCAGCCCGGCCACAGCUAGGCAGCCACCCUGGUUGGCUUGCCCCUUCCCCCGAAGGGGGAGGGGCAAGAGCCCUUGCGGUCGCAUCGAGUUCCCGCAGCGGGGCCCUCCGGUUAUCGCCGUAGCUCCUCGAAGCGUAGCGUAGAGCAGAGCGGAUCGCCGUAGCUCCUCGAAGCGUAGCGUAGAGCAGAGCGGAGGACUACACCACUUAGCGCCCAGCGUACCCCGGACCGUACCCUGGACCGGCUUCUCGCACGGCUUCUCGCACACACGCGUUACACGCACACACGCAGCGCCACACUAUAGCAUGUAAUGCAGUGAAUUGCAACAGCGGUAGGGUUACACGCGAAACACGAGCGCGGCAGGCAUUGAAGGAAGAAAGUUAUGUCGCGCCAGUUUCGCGCUUCGCACAUGCAGGCCACUGCAAAGAAUAGCAUGUAAUGCAAAGUACUGAGCGUGCGAGCCUGGAACGCCAGCGUCGGUGAAGCCGGCGAGACGGGGAAGUCGGCGAACUCGGCGAUGAAGGCCUAUCUCGGCACAGCUGCAAGGUAUUAGUGUGCAGCCAGCCCGCCGGGCCUGCGCGGAACGCGUCCACGACAUAAUUUUUUUCGCGGAGGCUACGUAUGCCGGCGUGCCCAAGGAUCGUUGUAUAACCUGUAACACGUGUCUGUGUGAGGACAGAGCGCGUGUGUCACUCGGCUGAGGCUGCGGAAGCGACAGUAGAGCGGAAGCUCUCUGAUCACGAUACCGUAUGUGUGUGUGCUGGAGGCUGUUUUAGCUUUUGAGAGAUAAGUGCGGAAGCGUUGUUGAGUUAAUCGAGAUGCGUCUUACAGCGGAAGUCUGCGUAAACGGAGGCAGGGGCCGUGAUGCAGGUGGGAGGACACGCUGCGGCGGGCGGUAGAGAGAGGGAGAGAGGAGAAAGAGGGAGAGAAGCCAGUGACAGGCAGGGCCGUCACACGUAGGCACACGAGGGCUCACUCGUGUUAUUCACUCGCUCGCUGGGGAAGGCCAGAGAGCUGUCGUAAUCGUGCUGCAGUGGGGCGGCACGUUGAGGGAGAAGGAGCGCCUGCGGGAGAGGUUGGGAAGAGGGAGAGGCGGCGCAGGGCGCAGGUGACAGGACACGGCUGUCACACGUUCGUCCACGAGUACUGCGCUCGUGGGUAGUCCACUCGCUCGCUGGGGAGACGAGGGAAAGGCGGGGUGCACUGGGGCGACCGGGGCCUUGGCUUGGUUCCUGCGAGCCUGUAAGAGAGAGACGUUGGGGCGACGGAGAGGCUGUGCGCAGAUGGCUGUCCAGCUGCCGUGAGAGAGCCCUGCGGGCUGUGAUGGGCGCUAUGGCCAAGGGAACCGGGGCAGAGGGACAGAGGAGCGAGAAGGGCACACGGUUCUUUACAAAGGCUCGCGUAGAGCGAGGGAAACAGGAGUCAGUAUUAGAGUUCACCGGAUGACUUGGUUGUGCGUAUUGGCGUGUCAAGUCUGGGUCUUGCGCGCUUGCUCAAGUCUGGGUCUACCUGUAACGGCUGGAAGAGGGCUGCUUUUAUACUCAUGGCGAGGGCCCCCGUCGUACGCCCGUACAGUUGCAUUGCCAAGAAGUCUAAGCUAAGGAGUACCGCCGUCUGUCACAUCCAAGCUAAGGAGUAUCGCCGCCCGAAUCACCGGAUCGCUAACUAGUUUGCACACCCUCCUCUGGAGGGUCUGAUUAUGGAGCUUAGCGUAGUGCUCACAGGUUCGAAUCCCGCCAAAAACAAAUUUUUGACACACGAUCACAACGAAGAACAAGAUAAGAUCAGGGCGCCGCGAAAUUUUACAAACAAGGCCACGCGGGUGCAGAAACCAAGAAUGCGAUAAAGCACGACAUGAUGCAACAUCAACAGAAUACACCGACAUCGCGAAAAAACAGGAAUUCAGGCUACCAGGUGUAUCUAUACACCAUGCUUGUCGGUUUUCAAGCUCCAACAUCGCAUGAGCAUGAGCAUUUACAUGGCGUCGUAGUCCAUGCGGCCCCACUAACUCCUUUGAGUCCGGAGGCGCAUAUAGCAGAACAAAGCAGGUUCAGUCCGCUCAAUCGCCCCGCAGAAUGCUAGCACGCAGAGCCUGCACUGAGUACAGGAACGCGGCUAAUUUUCUAACCUCUGUGCUAAGCAUGACUUCCUUCACACAAUUACUAUUGAUUCCAUAUGCCACUCUUAGCUCUGUGUAAGCUCCACAUUCGAGCAAGACGUGCCUCUCGUCCUCUACACACUCGCCACGGCACACCCGGCACCGCCUUUGGGUCCGCAAGCGCCGCACUCCGUUGCGCAUUGGCCUAUUUGCCGAACAUCGCGACGGACAUAUUGAACAUGUAUUUUGAGCGUGCAUUGUUCGGAACACACACAACGAGCUCGGGAGCGCGAAAUGGCGAGCCAAGCAUGUCGAGACCCCGACUGAUUUUCACACCGCGUCACUCAAGUCCCUAGUUGUUCGUAAGAAUAUGCAUGCUGAACGCGCAUUGCGCGCAGUGCAUAAUACAAGCUCAAGAGCGCGACAUCGCGGGCCGAGCAUAUUGAGACCCUCCUCCAUUUCCAAGCGAUUUGCGUCCCCGAAGUCUUCUAACUAUGCAUAUUAAGCGUGUAUGCCGAGCUACGUUGCGAAUAGAAUCCAAGCGGUAAAUGCCAAAAACAAAUCCCGCGAUCCAUCUGUCGGUCGACUGUUCGACCACUAACCUCCUGUGCGAACACCAGCUGGCUAACAAUAACCUCAUCAAAGUGCAAGGGAUUAACCAGGCCACACAUCAACCUGUUGUAAACACGCAACAAUCCAAAACACGACAAGCAAGCAGAUAAACAAUACCCCGGCUUCACGCAGAGACAGGACAGGUAGAAACUAAACCCGAACGUACACGUUGCCCUACGCCUGUCUGUCAAACAGCUCAGUGACAUACGUCCAGCCAGCGAAGCCAAGCAUGAUGGUCACCACACCAAACACCAACAAGAAAGUCACCGCUGUAAAUUGCAGUCAGCACUCACCACCCACAAGGUACUCCACGCUUCCAGGUCAUCUGUCAGUACACCUCGUGCAUGUUAAAAACACUACACUGUCCUUGCUGGCCGGGACGCAGGACAACCCAGUGUUUACCGCCACAUGCCAGAUGUUGCAACCAUGCAUGCAUUGAAGGCCUUGGUUAUGAGGCAGCCAUGCUAGCCUGAAUGCGCACAAUCAUACCUGGCACCGCUACUGCUGUGCUCUGGGAGAGCCUCAAUAGCCGCUGCCAUUCCGCAGCUAGAUCUGCCUCGGGCGUUAGCAUGGUACGCAGCGCCUUUUUAAGCCGGCGCUCUUCGGCCCGCGAGGCCCACAGCGGGCGCACUAAAUGUAACGCAUGCAACCCACGAAACCUGGUGAGCAUUACGUAAAUUGAAGCCCGCCGCCAACUGCCGUGCUGCGGUUUGCACAUAUCCACCAACCACAAUUCGUGCGGUGGCAGAGUUUGCCCCUGCGCGAAGUAAUCGGUAACUGCGUACGCAAGCUCCACACGAAAGCCCCAGCGCAUCACAGGCAACCGCAGGGCUGCAUGCUGCGAUGUGAACAUAGCACUGCACGGUAAAACAGGAAUCUCCCCGACAUCCAGGGCCUGAUCGACAGACACCCGACCCGCAUCAGGCCCGUCAGGGCGCACCAUUACAGCCGAGGGCACGAACUUGAGGACAUGCACGGGGGCAAUGCUUGCAUCUGGCAAUGGUGGCUCGUUGGGAUGCAGAACAAUGCCGGUGCCUGUGGCACUGUUGUUGUUGAUGUGAUACAGACGCACAUGCUCAUUUGAUGUAAACACGUAACGAAUGCCAGCAAAGAAUGCGCACACAGCGGGCACACCACUAUCAUCGUCGGCCCCGCCAAGCGCAUCUAACUGAUGCACAUGCGAAGUAGGUAAGCUGCUCCCGUCAGGCGACAAGUCCGCGCUACGCCACAGCAGCAGCUGCUGACGCUGCGCGAGCGCAUGCAGCUGCACGAGCUGCAAUGCCAGUGGAACCCGCACGACAUGGCGCUGGACAACUGCAAAGGGCUGGGGCACGGGGUCAAUCCCUGGCUUCGGGGGCCGCCAAACACGCGCGUUGAGCUGCUCGCACGCUGUGUCCAGAUCUGCCUGAGAGAUUUCCUGCACGCCACCAAAAUUCUCCGCUAGCAUGAAGAGAGGUUCGUUGUUGUCACCUACGCCUGCUUGCUGCCGAUGCUGGUGAGUGAGAAUGAACGCGAACGGCACCAUAUUCCACAGCUCCCGCCCCAUGAGGUUCAUGCUGCCCUCCGGAUGCUCCAGCUGCCGGAUCUGGCGCUCCAUGGCCCCGCCGUCCCCUGCGCCCGGCGCCAGCAGCCGCCGCAAGCUCUCCUCCGCAGCACCGCUAUAUAGCGGCACGUGCCGUGGCUGUGGCAACUGACGCAAGUCGCCAACAAGCAGGCCAUGCAGAUCUGACAGCGGCCCGUGAUAUAGGUGCGUGCUGUCUAUACCCACGUGCCUCCGUGCCGCGUGCACAUGCAUGCAAAUGCGCGCCCAGUGGGACAGCCCACACGUGCUAAACUCAUCUAGGAAAAUGAAGCGCACACCAUUGAGGUUGCGCUGAACUCGAUCGCGGUGAGGCGGACCAAAGGUGCCAGCAGUCGCAAAGAAGGACGUGGUGCUGGUGCCGAGCACGCCUGGCGUAGAGUCCUGUAAAUGGACCGUGAUGGCAGCGGCCGAAGUCAACAGCAUGAUCAUGUAAGGCUCCCUGGCUGCUAAACCCCCCAGCACGCACGAGCAGGACUAGCAGGACCAGUCCACCACCGCCACACUUCACCUCCGAACUGAACCCCUCUUGCACCCCACACCCCACACACCCCACACACAACUCACAUGCAGCGCAGCGCGCCACGUGUAGCUCACGAGGGCAAUGAGAGACUCGCAGCGGUGCUGGUAUGCAAACCACAGCAAUGCCUGCAGCACCCGCGACUUGCCGCUGCCGGCUUUGCCCGUGAGCACCGAGCACACGGGGGGCUGACGGACGCCGGCGGCCUCUGCUAGCAGGAGCUGCGCGUACAGCAUGAACGCCUGCUGCUGGUCGUCGCUGAGGUUCCAUAACCGCGCUGUGUCUUCAGGCGUCGGCUGCGAGUCCUCCGGGCAAAGCACGUACGGCGGCUCUGCACCAGGGUUCGCUGCAUCGGGCCAGACGCCCUGCACCUCUGGGGCGGCUGUGGUAACCGCCAAUGGCGAGAUGAGCACCAGCUUCGCUGUCACUGCCGCAGUGCCGCUGUUGUAAAGCAGCAGCUGCUGCUGCACUGCUCCCUGCGCCUGCGCGAGCGCCUGUGCGGCGUACUGCCCACCUAGGUCGUAAUCAUGCAUGCGUUGCUGUGCUGCAGCCAGCCGCUCGUGCGUCCACUCCUGCGUGCUGCGCACUACUGCCGCCGCCGCUGUACGCCCAACCGCUGGCCAUGCAUUGGCGCGCGGGAUCUGGGCAACCACGGUGGUCGCCUCUGUAGUCAGACCGCCACCGAGGCCGCCGUGCACAACGCGCUGCAGCAGCCCUGCCCGUUCCGUCUCCGAUAGCGCACAACCCUGCCAGAGCUCCGCUGCGGGCCCUGCGCUGCGCCUAACAUCGGGUUCCUCAUCAUCCUGCGGCUCUGCCUCCAGGUCGUCCAUGCCCUCCACCGGCACGCCCUCCAACAGUGCCUCCUCCGCCGCAUCCUCAGCGGUGCCCUCCACCUCCGCCUGCAGCUGCCGCCGCUCCUCCGCCCGCAUUCGCACGCGCGCAAGCCCAUCCACGUGAUCGAGCAUACGGCACGCGAUGCGCACAUGCAGCGACUGGCCGUCCGCCGGCUGUGCAAAGCACCGCUGAUAAGCUGCCCAUGCGCCGUUGCUGAGAUCGAGCCUGUCGUCACAGCUGUAGGCGGCGAAGUUCGCGAGCGCGAACACUGCAUAGCGCUCCAGCACCUGCGGAUCGUCCACGCCGUUCGCAGGCCGCACAACGGGGUCACACACCGGCUGCGGCACGUACGGCCGCAGCCGGCGCCGCCACACGCAUUUACUGUACUCUGGGUGCGCGGGAUGCAGGCGGAGAUGGUGCCCUUGCGCUCCAUCUGGCCCGGCCGAGUGCUGCGGGGUGGUGGGCACACAUACAGUUCUUUGCUGCUGGGCCCUGCCGAAGUGCUGCUGCAAGACAUUAUAACACAUGCGAGCCUACGGACUGAACACCCCUGCACCCCAUAACUCCAGGCGUGCAAGCUGCCGCGCACGCAACCUCGUACCUUAUAAAACAACAUGGCCAUCAUCAUAGGAGACAGCUCGCGCAGCGCCUCGCCGCGGUACAGGUAGUCUUUCAGGUAGCUUGAUGACCGGUAACGAGCAGGUGCAACGGCGGGCUGCUCUAGCUGCUGUACGCUUCCGCUGGGCCCGGGAUCUGGGACAUCGCUAGCGAUUGUGCUGGCGGCCAGAAGCUGACCUUCCCCUCUGGCACUCCCGCCCGCUCCAACGCUGCCCAUUGUACGCACAAGCCGCAGCUGGGCGUCUCUGGGCCUGAGCUCCGCAUCCAUCCCUUCCACUGCACGCCCACACCUCCACUCCAACCCGCCAUCCCCCACCCUACGCAGGGGCACCAACAAGUGCAGUCUGCCGGCGCAUGGACCGGUGCCAUUCUCCUGGGCCCACCUGACGCUCCCUCCAGUUUCUCCAGUGCCGUGAAUUUCGCACUCUGGGCCUGCAACCUGCCAACCCUGCGCGUCCUGCGCGCCACGCCUGACGGCAUGGCCGUUGCAGCAUUCAACGUUCUCCAGCCAACCACUCCCACCGCGCCCGGCAACGCACUUGCACCCACUCCUGGUCCUCCCACCAUCACCAACACGCCUGACGUGGCGUGGAGCGUGUACGGCCACGGAUUCGAAGUCGUGCACCUGUGGGAAGCCUGGCACGCGCCCGUUUCCGUAGAUAAAUGGCGGCGCCUGCAUGCUGCUCUCCUGCACAUGAUGCACUCUCGCCAUGGCGCACCACCCGACAUGAUCAACGUGCUCCCGUAUCAGCUUGCGUGGGUACUAGCGCACGUGCCCUAAACGAGGCUAGCUCUGCUUGCAUCUGCACCACGACUUGCAACAAGGGAGACGUAGGCCUCACACAUCAAUGACGGCUGUUGAGCACAGAUCAUCACAAGCGCUGAGGUGGUAUAGCUGUUGUUGUUGCACUGUUGCGUGUCUUCACAGUCUGCCUCACGGAUGGGCACCACCAUAGAAGCACUAAUGAUGUUGGGGGCGGUCGUUACGUUUGCCUUGACCGAGCGCUAGAAUUGAUGGCAUAUCGUAAGAAGGCUCAAAGGGCUGUAUCUAGGCGUGUUGACUGUUGACGGCGGGAGACAGGGAUUCCCCUGACGGCAGACUCGGGUUACGUCGGCGGGACGCAGCAAGGAGUGGGCGUAUCAUGUCGGUGUCCACAUCGUGCGGAUCAGUGGCGGAGCCCCGGAAACAAUUUUGAGGGUGAGAAUCGGCGGCAGCCUGUUUCGUCAACUAAACGAAGCCAUUUUAAGGAAUUCGGCCACUGACGCCGCCCCUGUCUUUGUAAGAUAUGAGCGCUGUUGAAUUGCAAACCAGCAUGACACAGCCCGUUCAUCAGUUUUGUUGGUGAUGGCACUGGUGAACACUCGUUGCUUACUUUGCACCAAUCAAUGCCUGUACGGCUGACAAACCUUUCAGGCACACACACACACACGAACACACACAUACCGUGCACCGGCUACUCCCCACCCCAGCACCUUGACCAUACGUCCCGCGCGGCAUCGCACACCUCCAUCACAGCCCCCGCCCCCACCCCCUCCCCCGCCUCGCGCCCAGAGGAGGAGGGUGUGCACAAUCAGGCCCCCGGCCUAGCUGGUAGCGAUUUGACUCGUCCUUACGGCAGAAGGGACCCGGGUACAAAUCCGGAUAAAAGCCCAAUUAUGCAAAAGGCGAAAAAUUGGUGCGAAACCGAUCGGUGAUCCCACGAAUGAAAAAGGUCGUGGUGCAGAAGUCCGAAGUGUAGAGGCGUCCAAGGUGCGGUCCAAGGUCCAAGAUCCAAGGUCGAAGCAGGAGCGCCAUGGCUCUGGCAUGUUGCAACUAACUGGCAUUGCUCCGCAGCUUUAGUGCGGCGUUCCCUAGCGACAUAGGGUGAUGGCUAGGAUAGGGUGGCGCUGAUUGGCUAGGAUAAGGUGGCUCGGAUGUGCUAGGAUGAUGGUGGCUAGGAUGCGGUGGUGCAGACCGUAGAGUCCGCUUGGCAGUGCUGGGGUUGCACUCGCAAGCGAUUCUCCGAUAAUCUCACGCUAGGAGCUUAGGCCCAGUGUAACCUUUCUUUCUUUCUUUUCUUUCUAGACAUGCCCCCCUCCAUCCCCCCUCCCCCCCUCGCUGUCAAUCCGCCCUGACAAGCCCCCACAGGCUACCCAUGCCUUGUACAGACACAAGAACGUACCGUGCAGGCUGAUAGACAUGUCCCCCACCACCCCUUUCUCCCCUCCUCGUUGCCAAUUCACCCUCACAGUCCCCCACAGGCUACCCAUGCCUUGUACAGACACACGAACGUGCCGUGCAGGCUGGUAGACAUGCCCCCCUCCAUCCCCCCUCCCUCAUCGCUGCUAAUUCACCCUCACAUGCCCCACAGGCUACCCAUGCCUUGUAAACACACACACACACACACACACACACACACACACACACACACACACACACACACACACACAUGUCUCGUGCAGACUGGUAGACAUGCCCCCCUCCAUCCCCCCCCCUCCCCCCCUCGCUGUCAAUCCGCCCUGACAAGCCCCCACAGGCUACCCAUGCCUUGUACAGACACACGAACGUGCCGUGCAGACUGAUAGACAUGCCCCCCUCCAUCCCCCCUCCCCCCCUCGCUGUCACUCCGCCCUCGCUGUCACUCCCGGUCAUCUCCCUUGUCCCCACGCCCGUACCGCCUCUUCUCGGAGUCGUCUGAGGCGGGCGGGGCCUUACCGUCAUACCUGUCCUUGAACCUGAAGGGCUCCCGGUCUUCGUCCCCGUCCCGGUCCACAGAACGGUUGAGGCGGCCCAGGCCCUGGUUGAUGUAGAUGGCUUUAUCAAUGGCGUUCUGGAGGUUGUCCGGGUGAGACCGGUAGACCUCGUCGGCCAGCUUCUUGCGUAGACCGCCCAUGAACUGGUACAUGUAUUGCUUGUUGCUGUUGCCGUUGAUGCCCAGCAGGGCCAGCAGGUGACGGAACCUGUCGGCAUACGCCUGCACCCGCUCCCCCGGCUCUUGCAAGCAGUUCGCAAGACUGGCAUGCAGCUCCUCAAGACGGGGGACAAACCGGCUAAUGAAACUGUGCUUGAACGCUCCCCACGUAGGGGGCUCACCGUACGUGGCGGACUCACCAUUCUCCCAGACUGAGGCCUCUUGGCCAAGGCGGCAGCGGGCAACGCGCAGCUUCUGGCCGUCGGUCCAUUGGAGCGCCUCGCCGUGCUUGUCGUUGGUGGACAGCCAUGCUCGUGCGUUGUGAAUGCUGGGGUCGAACAUAGUUACUUGAUAGUGCGCGCUGAUCAAAAUAUGUUUAAGAUUAUACGAUAUCUCGCUGCGAACACGCGCGGAUACCAGCUUGGAAGCACUCUGUUGAGAGCUGUCGGGAAAAUCGGAGCUUUGAGCCCCAAAAUGGCCCUCCUACGGGUCCUUAUCAUGUUAAUGAUAAGCCUCACAAACAAGUUCCCGCUGGAAAGCCCCCGGUCGUCGACUGGACCCAUCCACCCUCCUGGAGUCUCUCGGGCUCUCGUAGACCUAUGGUCUCGAUCUCGUGAGCUGUCUCAGACAACAGGAAUCGGUGGAGGGGACCCAUCGGCCGAGCUCCAGCGGAACUGGCAAGAAAUGGCGCCAUUAUCCUCAAUUUCUCCCCCGGAAGCCCCUCACGACUCCCAAGACUGCCUGCUAGCGAAUGCAGAAUAUCAGGAAGUCAAACAUGUAAACCGUUCCAGCGAAGCAAGGGAUCAAGAACCGAGACCCAGCCUUGACAUACCGUGGGAAUCCCUCCCAACACCCACGAAUAACCACCAGUAUAUCAAACGUGAUAAGCAACCUACAGCAGAACACUCACACGAGACAGAACGCCCUCUGAACAAGCUUCCGACAUUUUGGCAGCAAUACUCAAGAAAGCCUGAUAUACACUACCAAAACCACUCGGAUAAACAACAAAACAAGAAAGAAACCUGCACCGCCAAAGCCUUCCCCAGCGACCUGCCCUCCCAGACACAAACAAACUACAUGGAACACUCAUCAGAUACGCCCAGACAAGAAGAAUACCAAUUAGGUAGAACAAACCGAACAAAGGUUAAAUACCGACACGCGACUGACCCCCUGCUGGGGCCCCUCGAUAAUCAAUCGAAAGAAGGAGCACUACCACUACAUUACAAUAGAAUAUGGCACCCUCCAAAACUCGUUGAGAGCCAAUGCAAAUCUACGCCGCGGACACUACACCUGGGACGAAGCACAGCUCUUAUACAAACAAAAAUGACACCCGCAAGCUUUGCUAGUGCCUCACUUAACAAUACUCGCUGUUAUGGCCAAAGCCUAUGCCUGCGGUCCCUACACUCGGCGUCCGCCCAGCGGAUCGCCAGCGCAAGCCAACACUGCGAACCAUUUAGCGCCUACAAGACCUCAAACACC
rnacentral:lncRNA from 1 species